GUUUAUACCUCUCUCUCUCUUCUUGGGUUUUAACGACCUUACAAGGUCACGUCGGCCAUUUCUGGGUUACUGAACUUAUUUUUACCACAUAACCGGAUGGUCAGCCCUUGCUACGAAGGGACAGUCUAGAUGGGAUUUAAUUCCAGUUCCUAUCUACACCCUUUCAUGCGUCCGUUUCCGGUUUUACCUUGAUACAUCGAAAAUUCGUCUACAUUAUGCCGUGAUUAAGUUGAUCUUCACACGAAAAAACCAGUUUAUUUACUUUUAUCAUCUGCUUAUUCGGUUUUUUCGGCAUAUUUCGCCUCAAUCCAACGAACGCGAAUACCAAUCAGCCAGUCUAGUUUUGGCAACAUGUUGAAGAUGACGCGGUUCAGUGUUAUGUACGUUGUUAUUCUCGGUUUUAUUUCAUUGGUCCGGUGUAUCGAUGAAAUAGAAUUCCCUAAUAACGGAAGGAGAACAGACGAUGGUUUCAAUAAACGAAACAGGAGACAAGAAUUCGUUGAAAGCCCAUCUUCAACAAGAGACGGAGAAGUUAGAUUGUUAGAAAAAAUUCCCACAGCGGUGUUUGUUGGAAAUUCAGAACAAGGCUGUUCAGGGAUCCUAA